rnacentral:lncRNA from 1 species
GGCGGGAUCCAGGGGGCGAGGCCCGAGGCCGUGGGGUCCAGGCAUUUCUUUUCCUCCCACUCAGGGGCUGCCAGGGCCCAAAGGGGAGCGAGGAGAGAAGGUGAGCAUGGGGAGUCUGGGGUCCCAGCCCUUCCUGGGGGAGCACGGGGAGGCACUGACCCCCACGCUGGCCUAGCGGUCGGCCAUGAGGCCCGCCUUUCUCUUGCAGGGUGAGCCACCGUCCCUGGCCACCAUCUACCAGCUCGUGGGCCAGGCCUGUGAAUCUGCCAUCCAGGGUGAGUGGCCUGGCCUCCUGGUGAGGCCCCCAGAGCCUCCUCUGCCCCCACCCACCCAUCUCCAUUCCGGCCUGGGGGCCGGCAGGAGAGAAGCCCAGGCGCCCGGUCUUGCUUAGUGGACCCAGCCUCGUGGGGCCACGGAGCAAGGGAAGGGCCCGGAGGGUCCCCUCCCCCCACCCCUGCUGACCGCCCGCCCCUCCCUCCUCCACCAGCGCACGUGCUGAAGCUCCACUCCUGCUCCCACGAGGGCACCAGGCCGCCCAUGCCCAUCCUGGAGGCGCCCAGGGCCCUCGGCAUGCGCAGCGAGGCCCGGCUCCCUGGAGGAGGGGGGCACGGUGGCCCCCGCCCCGAGGACAGAGGACGGUCCCCCUGCUGCCCCGAGUGAGCCAGACCUUCCCCCCAGAUCCCGGACACGGGGUGCAGCUGGAGCAGCCUGGACGUGGAGGGACAGGGGAUGGAGGCCGAGCCUUGAAACCUCUUCUCUGCCCGUUUCCUGUGCAGAUAAACAAGCACUUGUCAAGGAAGUGGCUGCUUGUUACUAGGGCCCCACGGUCCUGGCCAGUGCGGCCCAGAUCCGCACCCUUGUCCCUCGGGGGGUGGCCACCCCCCGGCUUUGGCUCAAGGACCCUCCACCACGGUCUCUCUGUAAGCCUGAGACUCAUCCCCCUUCCCACAAGGCCCCCGCAGUCCCCAGGCCCUGUUGCCACCCAGCCCGGCCCCUCCAGGCCUCCGUCCCCGCUCAAGGGGGCUCAGCCUCCAGUGCACCUUUAUUUGGCGGCACCUGAGACGUGCUGAAUUCCUGGGCCAGGGAUGGAACCCUCACCUGAGCUGCUGCAGUGACAACAUGUGUCCUUAACCCGCUGCGCCUCAUGGGAAUUCUGGGGGCACCUGGAGUCAUUGGGGGGGGGGACUUUGAGAACGGGACUGGCCCAUCCUCCGAUGCUCCAGCCAGGACUCCCCCAGUGGUGGCCUCUCCUCUAAAGUUGUCACGUCCAGCUCAGCCCCGAGCGCUCAGGCUCCUGGGACCCCAACCUGCUGCCCCCUGGCCUUGUCACUGCCUAGUGCCCCGCCUCCUCCCCCGACCAGCCUGGACGCCAGAGUCAGUGCUGUGACCGCUCCCCCGGCCGUCCCGCCCGCUUGGGACGCCGCCAG